GACGAACGCUGGCGGCGCGCCUAACACAUGCAAGUCGAACGAGCGAGAGAGAGCUUGCUUUCUCGAGCGAGUGGCGAACGGGUGAGUAACGCGUGAGGAACCUGCCUCAAAGAGGGGGACAACAGUUGGAAACGACUGCUAAUACCGCAUAAGCCCACAGCUCGGCAUCGAGCAGAGGGAAAAGGAGCAAUCCGCUUUGAGAUGGCCUCGCGUCCGAUUAGCUAGUUGGUGAGGUAACGGCCCACCAAGGCGACGAUCGGUAGCCGGACUGAGAGGUUGAACGGCCACAUUGGGACUGAGACACGGCCCAGACUCCUACGGGAGGCAGCAGUGGGGAAUAUUGCACAAUGGGGGAAACCCUGAUGCAGCGACGCCGCGUGGUGGAAGAAGGUCUUCGGAUUGUAAACUCCUGUUGUUGAGGAAGAUAAUGACGGUACUCAACAAGGAAGUGACGGCUAACUACGUGCCAGCAGCCGCGGUAAAACGUAGGUCACAAGCGUUGUCCGGAAUUACUGGGUGUAAAGGGAGCGCAGGCGGGAAGACAAGUUGGAAGUGAAAUCCAUGGGCUCAACCCAUGAACUGCUUUCAAAACUGUUUUUCUUGAGUAGUGCAGAGGUAGGCGGAAUUCCCGGUGUAGCGGUGGAAUGCGUAGAUAUCGGGAGGAACACCAGUGGCGAAGGCGGCCUACUGGGCACCAACUGACGCUGAGGCUCGAAAGUGUGGGUAGCAAACAGGAUUAGAUACCCUGGUAGUCCACACUGUAAACGAUGAUUACUAGGUGUUGGAGGAUUGACCCCUUCAGUGCCGCAGUUAACACAAUAAGUAAUCCACCUGGGGAGUACGACCGCAAGGUUGAAACUCAAAGGAAUUGACGGGGGCCCGCACAAGCAGUGGAGUAUGUGGUUUAAUUUGACGCAACGCGAAGAACCUUACCAAGUCUUGACAUCCCUUGACGAUGCUGGAAACAGUAUUUCUCUUCGGAGCAAGGAGACAGGUGGUGCAUGGUUGUCGUCAGCUCGUGUCGUGAGAUGUUGGGUUAAGUCCCGCAACGAGCGCAACCCUUAUGGUCAGUUACUACGCAAGAGGACUCUGGCCAGACUGCCGUUGACAAAACGGAGGAAGGUGGGGAGGACGUCAAAUCAUCAUGCCCUCUAUGACUUGGGCUACACACGUACUACAAUGGCGUUAAACAAAGAGAAGCAAGACCGCGAGGUGGAGCAAAACUCAGAAACAACGUCCCAGUUCGGACUGCAGGCUGCAACUCGCCUGCACGAAGUCGGAAUUGCUAGUAAUCGCAGAUCAGCAUGCUGCGGUGAAUACGUUCCCGGGCCUUGCAC
rnacentral:rRNA from 1 species